rnacentral:lncRNA from 1 species
AAAAAAAUUACAGUUAUAUUAGUACCUUAAAUUGCAGUCACCAAUUUUAGAAACUUACAGUCAAUUUACACAGAACUUACAGUCAUUAUAUGCAUAAAUUACAAUGAUAUUAACACUGCAAAUCAUCCUUACAAGUGUCUCUAGCAUCACUCUGUGGUCACAGGACACCUCUGUUUGUUAGAUCCCAUUACUAGUCAAAAGUUCUCUAGGGGAACAAGGGCUGAAAAAUACAGUAGAUCACAUGAGUAGUAGUUCUGUCAAAAAAUCCUCUCUAGCAUUGCUAAGGUUCAACAGCAAGAGGUCUGACAGAACAGGAAAAAAGAAGAGCCAUGGGUAUUGCUCUGUUGAAAUGUGAAAUCCUUUUGACAGAAAAACACACAAACAUGCAUCAAGCUAUUCCUAGUGACACCUGCAUAGUACAAAACCUUUAGCCAACUGUAAAAAGGGAAAAUUAACAUAAGGAGCAGACUAGAAAAUUAGUGUUAUCUACGAACCAAGAUCUAAAAAAAAGAAUAAGGAAUGCAGGGGAGGGAGAACAACAAUGGCCAGCCACUUCAAAGAGCACCUCUACGCACAACGGCCGGCAACAACAACCAAACGUUCAAGCAACGAGAGAGGGAAAGCUCAGAAUGAAAAUUGCCAUAGAGUCGCCCCUGUCUCUCCCAUGCUCUCAAUGCCUUCGCUUCAACUGUCGCUG